GACAGAGGGUGCAACCGUUGUUCGGAAUUACUGGGCGUAAAGCGCGUGUAGGCGGCCGCGUGUGUCGGGCGUGAAAUCCCACGGCUCAACCGUGGAAGUGCACUCGAAACUGCGCAGCUAGAGUCCUGGAGAGGAAGGUGGAAUGCUUGGUGUAGAGGUGAAAUUCGUAGAUAUCAAGCGGAACACCGGUGGCGAAGGCGGCCUUCUGGACAGUGACUGACGCUGAAGCGCGAAAGCGUGGGGAGCAAACGGG
rnacentral:rRNA from 1 species